UACGUAGGGUGCAAGCGUUAAUCGGAAUUACUGGGCGUAAAGCGUGCGCAGGCGGCUUUGCAAGACAGAUGUGAAAUCCCCGGGCUUAACCUGGGAACUGCAUUUGUGACUGCAUGGCUCGAGUGCGGCAGAGGGGGAUGGAAUUCCGCGUGUAGCAGUGAAAUGCGUAGAUAUGUGGAGGAACACCGAUGGCGAAGGCAGCCCCCUGGGUUAACACUGACGCUCAUGCACGAAAGCGUGGGGAGCAAACAGG
rnacentral:rRNA from 1 species